rnacentral:rRNA from 1 species
GAUGAACGCUGGCGGCGUGCUUAACACAUGCAAGUCGAACGAUGAAGCCCAGCUUGCUGGGUGGAUUAGUGGCGAACGGGUGAGUAACACGUGAGUAACCUGCCCUUAACUCUGGGAUAAGCCUGGGAAACUGGGUCUAAUACCGGAUAGGAGCGUCCACCGCAUGGUGGGUGUUGGAAAGAUUUAUCGGUUUUGGAUGGACUCGCGGCCUAUCAGCUUGUUGGUGAGGUAAUGGCUCACCAAGGCGACGACGGGUAGCCGGCCUGAGAGGGUGACCGGCCACACUGGGACUGAGACACGGCCCAGACUCCUACGGGAGGCAGCAGUGGGGAAUAUUGCACAAUGGGCGCAAGCCUGAUGCAGCGACGCCGCGUGAGGGAUGACGGCCUUCGGGUUGUAAACCUCUUCCAGUAGGGAAGAAGCGAAAGUGACGGUACCUGCAGAAGAAGCACCGGCUAACUACGUG